rnacentral:rRNA from 1 species
UACGUAGGGAGCAAGCGUUGUCCGGAAUCAUUGGGCGUAAAGCGCGCGUAGGCGGCCCUGUAAGUCCGUUGUGAAAGUCAAAGGCUCAACCUUUGAAUGCCGGUGGAUACUGUCGGGCUAGAGUCCGGAAGAGGCGAGUGGAAUUCCUGGUGUAGCGGUGGAAUGCGCAGAUAUCAGGAGGAACACCAAUAGCGAAGGCAGCUCGCUGGGACGGUACUGACGCUAAGGCGCGAAAGCGUGGGGAGCAAACAGG